ACGGCUACCACAUCCAAGGAAGGCAGCAGGCGCGCAAAUUACCCAAUCCUGACAUGGGGAGGUAGUGACAAUAAAUAACAAUACUGGGCUCAUCGAGUCUGGUAAUUGGAAUGAGUACAAUCUAAAUCCCUUAACGAGGAUCCCUUGGAGGGCAAGUCUGGUGCCAGCAGCCGCGGUAAUUCCAGCUCCAAUAGCGUAUAUUUAAGUUGUUGCAGUUAAAAAGCUCGUAGUUGGAUCUUGGGUCGUAAAGGUCGGUCCGCCUACUCGGUGUGCACCUGCCCUUCCGUCCCUUUUGUCGGCGGCGUGCUCCUGGCCUUAAUUGGCUGGGUCGCGGCUCCGGCGCUGUUACUUUGAAAAAAUUAGAGUGCUCAAAGCAAGCUUAUGCUCUGAAUACAUUAGCAUGGAAUAACGUGAUAGGAGUCUGGUCCUAUUGUGUUGGCCUUCGGGACCGGAGUAAUGAUUAAUAGGGACUGUCGGGGGCAUUCGUAUUUCAUUGUCAGAGGUGAAAUUCUUGGAUUUAUGAAAGACGGACCACUGCGAAAGCAUUUGCCAAGGAUGUUUUCAUUAAUCAAGAACGAAAGUUGGGGGCUCGAAGACGAUCAGAUACCGUCCUAGUCUCAACCGUAAACGAUGCCGACCAGGGAUCGGCGGAUGUUGCUCUAAGGACUCCGCCAGCACCUUCUGAGAAAUCAGAGUGUUUGGGUUCCGGGGGGAGUAUGGUCGCAAGGCUGAAA
rnacentral:rRNA from 1 species